CAAGAAGCAAGCAAACUACCAAGAAGUUGAGUACUCGCCCAUCUACUUGCUCCAAUCAGUGAGAAGAAUUGUCUCAUCAUCUGUCCAUUUUUCUGUGUUUAGGAAAUAUUAAGGUAGACAAGAAUGAGUAAUGGAAAGAACUCCGCCUGGUACACCUUGUUCUUAAGGUUUCUGUCUUCCUGCUUCAGUUCAUCUGCAGGGAGUGGAACUAAAUCCUUGCACACUGGGCCAGAGGCGGCAAUGAUAGGUGCUGCUAAGCAUUUCUCCUCUGCUCACAAAAUAAAAAUGGGCUAGCUUCCAUUGAUGAUGGGCAGUUUUUCAGGAGUAAUGCUAGUGUCUCUGGAUGAUGAAGUCUCUCCUAUAAGAUCCCAUGUACAAAUGCUCUAUCUCAUUGGAUGUGUCUGAGAAUGAUCAAUGCAGAGGUUGAAUAACUGCAAAUUUUGGGUUAGGAAUGGCCUAGCCACCAUUCCCAAUCCUCCCAAUUUCGCAGACACAGGAAGAAUCAUAUAAUCUUCCUAAAAACACUCAUGGGUGCAGGUUGAUUUUUCUGUUGUUGAAAUUUCAAAUUGUUUUAGGAGGCAUUGUAUAGCAGUUUGUAUUUGAAUUGUUGUGAUACUUUUCUACCCUUUGUGAAUAAACAUUUCAUAUUUAUUAAAAAGCCUUCCAAUUCAUUUUGAAAUUUUAAAUGGUAAGUGUUUAUGUUGAUUUGAAGGAAAAGCAUACCCUAAUCCUGGUCUUAAAAAGUAAGAAAGAAAAUCACAAGCAUUAAAUUCAGACUUGUUAAAAGAAAAGUCAACAUUAGGUCCACAUUUUGAAGGCACAGGGGAAGCUAAAACUGCUUGUGAGAGAGGCAAGUGGGCCUGGCCUGGCCUAGCAUUGUGGUCAAACUCAAAACUCAAAAGAGGUCUUCUGUUUUUGAACUAUUUCCUUUGUCACAGUCCAAGAGCCAUCACCCAAGUAUUGGGGUAAAAAUUCACGCAUAGUACGAAUUGUAACUCUUGGAAUUCAUGCAUAUAGCCUAUCCUUUUGAAGUCCUAAACUCCUAACUAUGAAAUUCUCUAAUCAAUAUCCUCUAUCUUAUAUUUUUCCUUGAGGAUUCUCAUAGUUCCUUUACAAUGAGCAAGAUUUAGAUGGUAUUUGUUUUUUUACUUAAUUCUAAAUAGAACGUUAAUGCUUAAUAGUGUUAAAUAUUAUAUUGUUUGUUUUUGUAAUAUUUUAUUUCUAUUAAGUAUUAAAAAGUAAAAAAAAUUAAUAUGUUAUUUUUUCUAUUUAGAAAAAAGCUACAUAUUUUGGUGUGUUUGUUUUUUUACUUAAUUCUAAAUAGAACCUUAAUGCUUAAUAGUGUUAAUAUUAGGUUGUUUAUUUUUGUAGUAUUUUAUUUCUAUUAAGUAUUAAAAAGUAAAAAAAACCAAUAUGUUAUUUUUUCUAUUUAGAAAAAGUUACAUAUUUUGGUUUUUUCUAUUUAGUAAAAAGUUUAUAAUAAGUCAUGAAAAAGUAGAAAAACAAACAAUUUAAAUUCUAAAACUAAAUUGCUUUUAUAAAAAAGUCAAAAAAACAAACACCAUAUUGAUUUUUUUAUUUAGUAAAAAGUUUAUAAUAAGUUAUGAAAAAAUAGAAAAACAAACAACUUAAAUUCUAAAACUAAAUCACUUUCAGUAAAAAGCCAGAAAAACAAAUACCACCUUGUGAGGUAGCACAACAUUCUUUGUUGCCAGUUCUUCAAGUUCAUUUUACUAAACUUUUCUAGCUUUUCACCAUAAACAGCCAAAGUAAUCAAAUAGUAAAAAUGAAUUUGUUAGAAGACUGUUAAAAAUGAAUUUGAGGUAAAUGACAGUCUAAAUUUUCUUGUUAAACAAGAAAGUCAGAAAAGGAUGGUGGUCAAAAGCGAAGUCUUCCCAGUUUCUGAGCUAUUUCCUUUUCCACGGUCUUGAGUCCGCUGCCCACAUGCUCAAAUACAAGCUUGAACCCCAAGAAAUCUCAGCUAUAUAAACAGCAGAGAACAUGGAAGCCAAUCACAAGAAACAAGCAAACUACCAAGAAGUUGAGUACUCGUCCAUCUACUUGCUCCAAUCAGUGAGAAGAAUUGUCUCAUCAUCUGUCCAUUUUUCUGAGUUUAGAAAAUAUUAAGGUAGACAAGAAUGAGUAAAGGAAAGAACUCCGCCUGGUACACCUUGUUCUUAAGGUUGCUGUCUUCCUUCUUCAGUUCAUCUGCAGGGAGUGGAACUAAAUCCUUGCAUACUGGGCCGGAGGCAGCAAUGGUAGCCGCUGCUAAGCAUUUCUCCUCUGCUCACAAAAUAAAAAUGGGCUAGCUUCCAUUGAUGAUGGGCGGUUUUUCAGGAGUAAUGCUAGUCUCUCUGGAUGAUGAAGUCUCUCCUACAAGAUCCCAUGCACAAAUUCUCUAUCUCGUUGAGAAUUUUCAAUGCAGAAGUUGAACAACUGCAGAUUAGAUAUCAACCAUGUUGGCAGAUUUCGGGUUGGUAAUUAAUGAUCUACUACCCAGCAGUCCAAUCAUGCCAAUUUCCAGAAAGAAAGAGGAAGAAUCAUAUAAUCUUCCUAAAUACACUUAUGGAUACAAGUUGAUUUCAGGCUUUGUUUAGCAGUUUGUAUUUGAAUUGUUGUCAUACUUUUCUACUCUUUGUGAAUAAAUAUUUCAUAUUUAUUAAAAACCUUCCACAUUUGUCCAAGCCAAGCCUUUACUCCAAGCAGGAGGUUUAUGAUUUUAAAUAGUAAGUGCUUAUGCUGAUUUGGAGGAUAAGGAUAACCUAAUCCAGGUGCGAAGAGGAAAAUAAAAUAAGAAAAACACAGAAGCUUAAAUUCAGACUUGUCAAAGAUAAGUCAAUACUAGGUCCGCAUUUUGAAGGUAGAAGGGAAGCAAAGUUGGUUUGUAACUUGUGAGAGAGGAAAUUGGGCCUAGCCUAGCAUUGUCGUCAAAACUCAAAAGAGAGCUCCUGUUUCUCAACCAUUUCCUUUGUCACGAUCCAAGAGCCAUCACCCAAGUAUUCUGGUCAAAGACGGAAGUCCUCAGUUUCUCCACUGUCUCUAUAUCUCAGUUCACAAUCAACUCCCACACCCCCAAAUAUCAUGUAAGAUUCAAUGAGUGAGCUUAUGAGAAGUCAAGUUGGCGCACCUUAGUCAAGUUAGCAGCAGCCAUGGUCGCUGCUGGCUGCUGUUAAGCAUCUCUUUCUCUCAUAAAUUCCGGAUAUGGUAGCAUAGCAGUCACGAGGUCCUUUUAAGGACCGUGGAAAUACCAUACCUCCGUUUUAAUAGACGUGAUGAGAUUUUGUGGUUCAGGAUUCCAAGCAUUAAUAGUAAACACAUAAUGGUCAGUUGAUUCUAAAAUUUUAUUCAUUUGAGGAUAUUGGUUAUAAUUUAUACCUUUUUUGUACUCUUAUUUUCCUACACUAAAAGUAAUAACACCUACUUGAUGUUUAAUUACUUUCGAAUCAAAAGCUUUUGGGACUUUAUGAUUGGCUUUGAAUCUGUUGUUCACAGCUUUCAAAAACAAUUUUGAAAAACUAGUUUUUAAGCACAAUUUUUAAAAACUAUUUUAUAAUUUAAAUAUAUUUUGGGUUUAUGAUUUCCAAUCCCAUAAUCUAUGUAUUUUUAGAAUUACCUUUUGUCUCCAUGAUGAUACAUGAUUCAAUGAUUCAAUGUGCUAGUGGUGCAUGGUGAGCUAGUGCAUGUUUGAAUUAUUUGCUGGAACUGGGUGUCUUUUUCUUUGUUUUUUGAGGUUGCCUCAAUGUUGGAUGACUGGAUAAUGGGCCUUAUCGAUCUCAAUUAACACAAAUCACAUACUGUUUGAGGUAAAUGUUGGUCUAAUUUUCUUGUUGAACAAGUCAGAAAAGUAUGGUGGUCAAAAGCGAAGUCCCACAAGCUUCUGAGCUAUUUCCUUUUCCAGUCUUGAGCCUCCAAUACAAGCUUGAACCCCAAGAAAUCUCUUUUAUAUAAACGGCAGAGAACAUGGAAUCCAAUCACAAGAAGCAAGCAAACCACCGAAAAGUUAAGAGUACUCUCCCAUCUACUUGCUAGAACCAGUGAGAAGAAUUGUCUCAUCUUUCCAUUUUUCUGGGUUUAGUUAAUACUAAGGUAGACAAGAAUGAGUAAAGAAAAGAACUCCGCCUCGUCCACCAUGUUCUUAAGGUUGCUGUCUUCCUUCUUCAGUUCGUCUCCGGGGAGUGGUAAGUUGAAGAGUUCAAGAAGUACAUCCUUACACACCGGGCCGGAGGCAGCAAUGGUAGCUGCUGCUAAGCAUUUCUCCUCUGCUCACAAAAUAAACUUGGGCUAGCUUCCAUUGAUAAUGGGCAGUUUGUCAGGAGUAAUGCCAGUCUCCCUGGAUGAUGAAGUCUCUCCUAUAAGAUCCGAUGCACAAAUGCUCUAUCCCAUUGGAUGUGUGCGAGAAUUUUCAAGGCAGAAGUUGAAUAACUGCAGAUUAGAUAUCAAACAUGUUGGUUCAUUUUGGGUUGGUAAUGGUCUACUACCCAGCAGUCCAACCCUGCCAAUUUCGCAGAAAGAAAGAGGAAGAAUCAUAUAAUCUUCCUAAAAGCACUUAUGGGUGCAAGUUGAUUUUAGGCUUUGUUUGGGAGUUUGUAUUAAUUUGAAUUGUUGUAAUACUUUUCUACUUUUUUCAAUAAAUAUUUUAUCUUUAUUAAAAAGCCUUCUACAUUUGUCUAAGCUUUUACUUUUCUUCAAAU
rnacentral:lncRNA from 1 species